rnacentral:rRNA from 1 species
CCGCGGUAAUACAGAGGGUGCAAGCGUUAAUCGGAAUUACUGGGCGUAAAGCGCGCGUAGGUGGUUCGUUAAGUUGGAUGUGAAAUCCCCGGGCUCAACCUGGGAACUGCAUUCAAAACUGACGAGCUAGAGUAUGGUAGAGGGUGGUGGAAUUUCCUGUGUAGCGGUGAAAUGCGUAGAUAUAGGAAGGAACACCAGUGGCGAAGGCGACCACCUGGACUGAUACUGACACUGAGGUGCGAAAGCGUGGGGAGCAAACAGGAUUAGA